AACUGAACCUAAACGUAAACUUAACCUAAAACUCGUGUUAUGUUUUAUUAUUUCUAUCUGGAAAUUCGUUUAAUGGUCCAGCAAGUGUCAGUAUCGAUAUUUAGAAAAUCAAUUUAGAAAUCAUUAAAAAAAGUGUUAGAAUUUAUUCAAUACGGAAGCAGGCAUCAGCAACGGUGAUAAAUCUUUAUAAAGAAUAAAGAGCGUGAACACACUCCAACGAGUUUUUUGUCUUUAUCCGACAGCGAGCCAAAUGGCCACCAUUUGCUGUUUACUUUCUACCACUUGAUCUGCAGAAUCGUUUGCAACACUUUUCUCAUUAUAUUCCUCUUUACCUCUAUCUCUUUAAAUAACCCUUUUUAUAUAUAUACCAAAGUUUGAACAAAACCGGAUACCAGCCAAGUUCUAAAGUAUUUGCUGAAAUUGUUUAAGAAUGGAAGAGAAAAUACUGGAUGCAAGGUUGUAAUUAAAAAAGAAAAAUCGAUUUUACACUUACUGGGAGAGGAAGGUUGAGGAUUCCUCUGGAUCAGCUUCCUCUUUGGCCGUUUCCACGAGCAACACGACUUCUUGAUUGAAACAAGGACAAGUGGUCCGCGAAACCCGUUAUAACACGGCAAACCACAUUUAACUAUCGGAUAUUUUUAGAACCUGAUCGAUAACCCGAUUGCGUUACUGCCAACCAGUUGAUGAUUCUUCCUCUUCUAUGUUCGUUUCGUCGAAAAGUUAGUGGAAACUUGGGAUCGCUCGAGAAAUCGCACAAAAAUUCCGAUUGGCCUUUGCUAGGUCCGCCAAGUUGCGUCAUACACAAACUUGUGAUUCUCUGUAAUUUUAUAUGCAGGACGUCUCAGCUGACUUGAGACAUUUCGUAUUAUCGAUGAUGGGAACAAAUAUGAGAAACCUUUAUUUAAUUUGGAGGGGCAGAUACGACGGCCUGACAUUUUUCUGCGGCUCAUAU